rnacentral:rRNA from 1 species
UGGGGGAUAUUGCACAAUGGGCGAAAGCCUGAUGCAGCGACGCCGCGUGGGGGAUGAAGGCCUUCGGGUUGUAAACUUCUUUUGCUCUGAACAAGGCAUGCCUUUGGGGUGUGUUGAGUGUAGGGGUUGAUUAGCGCCGGCUAACUACGUGCCAGCAGCCGCGGUAAUACGUAGGGCGCGAGCGUUGUCCGGAAUUAUUGGGCGUAAAGGGCUUGUAGGUGGCUGGUUGCGUCUGUCGUGAAAGCUCAUGGCUUAACUGUGGGUUUGCGGUGGGUACGGGCUGGCUUGAGUGCAGUAGGGGAGGCUGGAAUUCCUGGUGUAGCGGUGGAAUGCGCAGAUAUCAGGAGGAAUACCGGUGGCGAAGGCGACUUACUGGACUUAAACUGACGCUCAGGCACGAAAGCGUGGGGAGCAAACAGG